AGUGUUGGUGGUCUCUUCCGCUCUGCAGCCUCAGGAGUGCCCACCUGACCAGGCGGUUGGGUCUCUCUCUCACCGGGUCUGGGAGCAGAGAGCUGCUGCGGGCCGGGAUCCGCGGGUGUGGGACUUCCGGUAAACACAGAAUGUGCCCGGUUCUAGAGAAAUUCUGCUUCCGUGUGUCCCAAGCUCACCAGGCAGCUUUCUUGCAGCAGAAAAUUUGGUCUUACCUGUGGUCUCGAGGCUCAAGUUCGCUCGUGGGGUGCUGCCCAGGGGCUCUCUGCAGCGGCAGCAACCAGGAAGACCUGUGCCGCCCCUUCCGGGAGCUUCAGUGCACCAGGGUUCCAGAUGGUCUUUGGCUUUUUCCUCUGGCGUCCGAGAUGUGUGUGCAGGGAGCAGUCUCUUCUGGUUUCCCAGGCCUGUCUGCCUCUCUGAAGGUUUAGCUCUCCCUCCCACGGGAUUUGGGUGCAGAGAAUUGUUUAUCCGGUCUGUUUCCUUCAGGGUCCGGCGGUGUCUGUGGCAGGGGUCCUGCCGCUCCUGGGCCCCCCCCCCCACGGGAGCCCAGAGGCCUUAUACAGUUUCCUCUUGGGCCAGGGAUGUGGGCAGGGGUGAGCAGUGUUGGUGGUCUCUUCCGCUCUGCAGCCUCAGGAGUGCCCACCUGACCAGGCGGUUGGGUCUCUCUCUCACCGGGUCUGGGAGCAGAGAGCUGCUGCCCCAUUCCUUCUUUAAAAGUGGAACAAGAAUACUCUUGGGUGGGAAUAGGUAAGCAAAGUUUAGAACAGAGGGUGAAGGAACGCCCAUUCAGAGCCUGCCCCACAUGUGACCCCUACAUAUACAGCCACCAAACUAGAUAGAUGGAUGAAGCAAAGAAGUGAAGACUGACAGGAACCGGAUGUAGAUCUUUCCUGAUAGACACACCCAGAAAAUGGCAAAUACAUAGGCGAAUGCCAGCAGCCAACCACUGAACUGAGAAUGGGACCCUUGUUGAAGGAUUCAGAGAAAGGACUGAAAGAGUUGAGGGGCUUGAGACCCCAUAUGAACAACAAUGCCAACCAACCAGAGCUUCCAGGGAGUAAGCCACUACCCAAAGACUAUACAUGGGCUGACCCUGCAUAUGUGGAUGAAGAUUAUUGGCAUAGUUAUCCAAAACACAGGAAUUGAGAGCUUCGAAGUCACUGGGAAAAGAAAGGCAUCCUACACCUCAAGUUUCCAGAAAGACAGGCAACUUCCAGUCCUUUCCUGUGACUGUUCUAGCAAUUGGAUUAAUGUUCAUCCUCGGAUGCCCGUGUUCACAUAUUGCUGUCUCUUUUUAGACAAAGCAAUAGAGACUUGUUGGCUUGAAGAGGCUUAUCCAACAUCACCGAAAUAGUAGGAGCCAAAGUUCAAAGUGAACCCCAUCUGUCUUCCUUACUCUUAACCUUUUAUGUCAAUUCAUCCAUGGCACGCCCUCUAGAAGUGGCCAGUGUGGAGGAUUAGGGAGACAGCGAGACAAUCAAAGGAUAGCUCAAAGUAGGAAGGUGUGUAUCUGUAUGAUUCAGAGAAUUCACUAGGGAUAUCAGCCUUCUCUGGCCACAGAAGGUUCAGCCCCAGAAAGAAACUCUGCAAAGGAGCAGAGGUCCUGCUAACCACAGGUGGAGACCAGUGAGGCUUACUAAUUAUUUAAGAUCAGAGCGUAAGAAGGUCAUGAGACUGGGGCUGGAGCUUGGGUGUCAGAUGUACUGCCAUUUCCCCUGAGCUUUGUCUGGUGGUGUUUGUUUGUUUUGUUCUUUUGACACUUUGCGAAGACUUGACUUCCAGUAUUUAAAAAAAAGACUCAAAUGAAUUGAAGAUCACAGAAAAGCUUUGCAUAAACACUCAAGGGAACUGGGAAAAUUAUGUAAGGAGUUAUACAGAUGUGUGUAAUACCAAAAAAAAAAAAAAAACUUUAAUGCAAAGGAGCCAGGACCAGGAAGAUUGCACAAGUUCAAGGCUAGUCUGAGACUACAUAGUGACUUCCAGAUCAGCCCAUGAAACAUAAGGAGUCUCAGUUUUAAACCCACCAAGAACAGAAACUCUGUGUGUGUCUAUACAAAAAUCAGACUAAUCUUGUUCUUGCUACAGUUUCUGAUAGUUACGUUUUACAAUAAUUUUAUGCUCAGUUAUAUUUUGCAUAGGGUCUCACAAUUUUGUACAGGCUAGCUUUGAACUCCUGGCUUACAGGAUCUUCCUUAGCCCUGGAUAUCUAGGAAGAGAUACAAGUCAUCUUACCUGGAUCUUUGCUAACUUUUAAGCUAUCAUUGUACACAGACCUUGCCUUAACAAGAACAGGUGUGCUUCUCUUAGAAAUAUUGAAAACAGAAAAGCUAAUUCCAUAUAAUAGUCCUUGUUGAUACUGAAGAUUUCUUCCUGAAAAAAAUCAAAGAAAAUCAGCAUUGCACAGUUUCUUCUUGGCUGAUCUUCAAAAGGGAAAAAUAAAUAAUAUGUUUCCUCACAUUUUUAUUUCUACCUAUAAUUUUGGAUAUACCAUAUUGUGUAUAUAUAUAGUAUCUACAAGGGUAUGUACUGCACCUUUGGUCUGUUUCUUUAUUCAGUAUUGUUACAUUAUCUCCUUAGGAGUCUUGUACAUGUAUACGCUCAGUGAACAAAGCCGAACAGAGAGCAGAGUAUACUUGGUUAUGCAGCCUUUAUAGGGGGAUCUAUAUCUAACAUUGCUACAAAUUACAAAACAAAAACAAAACAAAACAACCACCAUAACAGAAGUGAUGAGGAAUUCUGAGUUCUUAUUAAAGUGGUAGUCCAACUUAUAUCUAGACAUACUUGAUAAUCCCUAUAUAAACCAGGCUGGUUAAAUCAUCAAGAUUUAAUGGUAAGUGUUCUAGUUUGACCUGAUUGCUGUGAUGAAACAUCAAGACCAAAUGUAACUUGCUGGGGGUGGAGGGAGGAUUUAUUUAAUCUUACAGCUGUAGUCCAUCACCUAGGAAAGUCAGGGCAGGAAGUCAAGGCAGGAACCUGAAGGCAGGAGCUGAUGUGGAAGCCAUAGAGGAGUGCUUCCUUCUUGCUUACUCCCCAUGGCUUGCUAAGCUUGCUUUCUCAUACAGCACAGGCCAACCUUCCCAGGGUGAUACCCACAGUGAGCUGGGUCCAUCAGUCAUUAAUCAAGAAAAUGCCCUCCAGAGUUGCCUAGAGCAAUCCGGUGGAGGCAUUUUCUCAAUUGAGAUUACCUCUUCCUAAAUGACUCUAGGUUACUAAAAAAUGGACAAAAACUAAGCAGCAUAGUGAGGUUGACUCUUCUGUGGGUGGAGGGAACACUUGUUGUUGUCUUAUGUGAGGAAAAAUAAAUGUCCAAAUCAGAGCCAGUCUGACGUUUGUUUUGUUAACCACAUACUAAGGCAAGAGAUUUUGCUUGAAUUUGUGCCAGCCUGGACUUUACUGUUCAUGUGUAUAGCAGGCUAUACACAUUGUGAACUGUGUAAUGACAAUCAAACAAACUCAGAGUCAAGCAAAUGCACAUGCUGGCAAAGAUGGAAGAUUCAAAGCCUUCACUCUGUUUGAAGGUUAUCAGAGCCUUGUCCUCUCCUGGAAAGGUCAGCAAUAGGGAUUCUAGGAUGGCUUUUAGCUUCAACUGACUUUGCUCAGGUGUAUUGCUAAAGUUUUGUUGUCUUUUCCUUACUUCUGAAAACCUGAUUCAUGGCCUCUAUCCAGCUGCUAGAUCAGAGGUUCUCACCCUUCCUAAUGCUGUGACCCUUUAAUAAAACAGUUCCUCCUAUUGUGGUGACCCCCAAACAUAAAAUUAUUUCCCUUGCUACUUCAUAACUGUAAGUGUUACUUAUAUGAACCAUAAUGUAAAUAUAUGAUAUGUAACCACUGUAAAGCGGUUGUGACCCACAGGUUGAGACCCACUGUGCUCAAGUCUUCCUCAGAACUGUUUUUUCCACCUUUCAACAUCUAACUCUGCAGAAAGGAAUCACUCUAAGCUUUUCUCCCAGGCAACAGCAGAGAACAAGAUAGACACUAGAAAAGAAUAAUAACCUGACAAUAUUUGAGUUACUGGGUCAUUCAGGUGGUAGGUAAGUCACAAUGAUUGUGAAGAAAGAAGGAGGGGAGAAAAGAGGAGAGGAGAGGAGUGGAGCCUUUUGUAAUUGUUGGGUUCAUUCUGAGGGUUUCUGAGCAAUCUCUUGUCUGCUACAAUAGAGCGAGCCUAAAGCAGGGACUGGCUUCAACAGUCUUUUCCUAGCAUUGGGCUGUGGGGACGCCAGGCAGCUAUGCUAUGGCUAAAUGAGUUCAGGAUGCCACAGUCACCAGCAGAAGAGGUCCAUGUGGAUUUACAUCUGCAGUAUGACAAGAGAUGCUGCUUCCUGUUGACCUUGCAGCUGGCACACCAGCAGGUUUCCACAGGCUGGACACAGCCACCUUGGUUCUGUGAUUCUGAGGUUUUAUUUUUGUCAGAGGGGCAAAUUUAAUUUCUUGUAGGAAAGUAUAGAUGGAUUUUCACAUUUUCUGCCACUGAGCAUCUUCAGGAAUCAUUUGUACAAGCCUCUGACCACAGUGCUUGAGAAUCUUUGACAGACUUGCCCCAGAUGAUAUCAAUCCAGAUGAUAGGGGUGAAAGAGAUUCCUUUGAAGAUGGCUGAGGUGGAAGACAUUAUUUUUCUCUCUCGAUCUUUUGUGGGGGAAAUUUGGCACAUCAAUAAAGUAAAAAUAAAUGAAUAAAAACAUAAAUCCCCGGGGCAUGGCUAGCAGGAACCAGAGUGAGCAUUAAGAGCACUAAGGAAACUGACACCCGCCUGGCCAGCACAAAGGCGCAGACUCAGGAUGAAACAAAACAAAACAAAAAGCUGGGAAGUGGGUCCAUGGUCUACUUGUAGAUCCUGUGUUGAAUCCUCAGAACCUUUUGAAUCCCAGUGCUUUUUAAACAGGCCCCUGAAGCUUGCUGGACAGCCAAUCAUGGCUCAGUAAGAUAUCUUGUCUCAAAAAACAAGGUGAAGAGUAACUGAGGAAUACACCUGAUGUAACCCCCUCCCUCUCUCAUGUACACACAUGUGCACACACACACACACUACAGAAUAACUACAAGAAAGAAACCCUAACUGUAAAGGUUGCUGUCUUUUUCCCCAGUGGAACUGGGCAAUCAGGCUGGUACAAUCCUGCCACUUUGGACUCCCACUAACCUAUGUGUUCCAGAUGCAAUUCCUCAGUUUUCCCUUCUCCUGUACUUCAGGCAUCCUGAUUUUAGUCUUAUGUCAACCUGACACAAGCUACAGUUAAUUGGGAAAGAAGACUCCUAAUUGAAAAAAAUACUUGGAGUAUGUAUCUAUGUUACUAUGGAGCACACUUAUACCACCUCAUUGAAAAUCAAGUUAACAGUACAUAGAACUUUAAUAAAUACAAAUAAUCUUUAUCUCUUGAACUGUGUCCUAGUGAUGAAUUCAUACACGAGUAAGAUGAGGUGUGCUUGAAACUUAGUUUCAGCAUUGGUUAUAAACAGAAAGGACUAAAACCAUUGGGCUCCCAUAUGUAGACAUACCCUAAGUAUAUCUGUACAAUAAAUCCUGCACAUCUAUGAAAAGGAAAUUGGAGGCACUGUGUGCAUGUCUUUACCUCAAGGCCAGUGUGCUGCCAACUUAACUCCUGGAUGGCACUACAGUUAUCCUUCUUGAUGAACACACAUGUGCCAGUUACAUAGCCUAACCAACUGCCUUGGAGAAGUACCCACAAAUAGGAAAAUCAUGCUUGCUUGUUGCAAAUAGAUGUUGAGAAUGGAAGAGGAUAAUAUAUUCUGCACACCAUUUUCAGGUUAACAGUGAUUGAGCAUCUACUCCUGUUAUAUGGCUGUCAAAAAGAUUGUAAGAGGGCUUUACAAGUGAACAUGGCAUGUGGUAGAAAGAAGUGAGGAUAUUGCAAUCUCUUCAUGCUGGUGCUCUUAAUGACUAGCUACAUAUGUGGAAGAAAAGGAAGUGAAGCGUGGGUUUAUUUAAUGCCCUUACAAGAAUAGGUUGGAGAGAAUAGCUAAAGAAAUGAAUAGAACUACAGAUUUUUAACUACAGUUAAAAUAUAAUCAUGGAACCUCCACCAGUACAUAAAUGCUUUUUCACUGUUUUAAUCACCAUGCUGGGGACAGCAGUAGCAGGUUAGUGAUGAUCCUGCUGUGAAUGAAGUCACCAAAGACAGAAAAGGAGACUUAGUAAGAGAACUUCAAAAGCUUUGGUGGGCAAGUUCUUGGAGAAAUGAUCACACCUGCUGGGAGGGAAAGCUCUCCUCCGCUCUGCAGCCUCAGGAGUGCCCACCUGACCAGGCAGUGAGGUCUCUCUCCCCUGGUGUUCAAUUCUUAAUCGAGAAAGAAGACAGAAAUUUCUGAAUUCAAUCUCAAGUAUCUUAGAUUGAUUGGUGUUGCGACACCAUCACAAAGCUAUAAGAAACCUAUUAACACAAUCUUUACCAUUAGCAAAAGCACGUCUAAUAGAGGUUUGAGAGGUUCAUUCAUCUCCAUUUCUUUACCAAUGUGCAUUUUCAGAGUAUUCACACAUUACUUCAUGUUUGUAUAACUGCAUGCUCAUGACCUUAUGAGAUAAAUUAUGACUCCUAUUUCUUUUUUCUAGUGAAGGAAGAGACAGAGAAAAAUUCCUUGCCAUAAAAAGAAGAAAUCUAGCUGGGUCCAGUGGAAUCAAUCUACAAUUCCAGCUAUGUAGGAGGUUGAGAAAGGAGGAUCAAUAGUUCAAGGCCGGUCUGGGCUAUAAAGAAAUAUUCUUCCUGCCAAGGUUAUUGGGGAAUGUCAUCUCUGCCAAGGUUAAUGACUACUUGGUAACCAGAGACAGCAUGACUCCAGGAGGCAAAGCCCUGACACACUAACACUCCCAAACCUGAGAAAGGUGAACUGUCAUCGACUAAAAGAAACCCAAUAGGAACAUCUGCCAGGUAUCGUGACAAACUUUACUUUGAUUAUGACUAGAACCAAACAACUGUUGUGACUGGUGAGGUGGUGCAAGCUUCCUCCAUCUUAUAUUCUUGCUGAGGCUGUUUCCAGGCUUAACUGGAAUCAGAUCUUGCAGUAUCCCAUGGAAAACUACCCAACGCUAUUCUAGGAACUGAAGAUCAGGAUGUCCUUGCUAAGCUACCUAAGCUUUGUUGAAAUUGCUUAUUUGUACAGGAAACGCCUCCAGCUAAGCCUUUAUUGUAGCUGCCUGUUUGCGUGGAAUCUCUCUGCCGCUGACUAACUGCUUGUCUUCUCUUCAUGACGCUUGCUUCGAACUGCUUGCUCUGUGAAGUCCCCACUACAACUACCAAGGGAGAUGGAUGCUUUGAUGAAGUCUCCGCACUCAGAAGCCCCAUGUUCUGGACGCUGGGGACCACACCUGGAUGAACCCUCAAUACUUUGGUGUGGUCCCUCCCAGCUGGUUGGGAUAAAGACUUUGAUUGUAUAUACACUGCGUCUCAAUGAUCAUCUCUGUUAAGCUUCCCAUAACACUGUAAAAAAAAAUACAGCUGAGACACUGGGGAAAACUAGAACUCAGCAAUACUAAGCAAUUAUUGGGAACUUAACUGUUAGAAUGUUACUAUUGUUUUUAUAAGCUUUAUUUUUAUUUAUGGAUUUGUGUGAAUGUCAUAUGUGUGCUAGUGCUUGCAGAAACCAAACAAGGAUGUCAGGUCCCCUGAACCUAGAGAUGCAAGCAGUUGUGACCUGAACUCAGGUCCUGUCAUAGUUAGGGUUUCUACUGCUGUGACUAAAAGCAACUUGGGAAAGAAAGAGGUUAUUUGGCUUAGAAGUUCCAAUCAAAGUCCAUUAUAAAGUCAGGGCAGGAACUAAAGCAAGAUCCUUAGAGGAAUGUUGCUUACUGGGCGCUCUCCUGGUUUCUCUGCAUUGCUUUCAUAUAUAUCUCAGGACUCCCUGUCCAGAGAUGGCACCAUCCACAGUAGAGGUUCUUCCACAUCAAUCAUCAGUCAAGAAAAUACCACACAGACUUGUCUACAGGCCCAUCUGAUGGAGGCAUAUUCUCAGCUGAGCUUCACUCUUCUUAGAUGACUCUAGUUUUGUCGAGUUGUCGAAAGGAAGGAAGGAAGGAAGGAAGGAAGGAAGGAAGGAAGGAAGGAAGGAAGGAAGGACAAAAGAAAGAAAGGAAGGAAGGAAGAAAGAAAGGAAGAAAGAGAAAAAAGUCUUCCAUAAGAACGGCAAAUACUCUUAACUACUGAGAUAUCUCUCCUGUCUCUGUCAGUUUUUGAAGUUAUUCAUCAGAACUUUAUAUUGAAAUAUUUGUGCAGGUGGAUGAGUGUUGCCUGUACACUUGGCAGCUCUCUGCCCAACCCAACCUGCCCUUGAUGGUUGGGGGCAAGUUUACACAGAUUCAAUGACACAGACUCAAGGAGCAGGUGAGAAAAGCAGCAGCAAGCUCAUCUGAGCACUGCUGCAAGUUCCUUUAAUACCCUCCACUCAUGCCCCCAUUGGUUCCAAGAAAGUAGCUAUUCUAAACAGCAGUUCCUGAUUGGCUGGCACUGUUUGCACCAGCAAUCCUUGCUCUCUCAGGCAGUUCUCAAUUAGGUCCUCCACAGGAAUGCUGGUGUCAUAGGCAAUUCUCAAUUAGGUCCUCUUACAGGAGGAGAUGCUUUGGCAGCUGCAGUGCCCCCAGAGUUUACAUAAAGAUAGCCCUGCCUUUCCUGCUACAGAUAAACCAAUACAAUGUCUCAGAUUUGCUAAGGCAAGCUAAAGGGGAAAAAGAAGGAAACAAAUACAAUAACAUAAACAUGGCAAUUGUUCAAGCUGGGUGAGAGGUAUAUGGAAUCCACUGUAAUGUUCUCUGUACAACUACAAAAA